GUCACAGACAGUUUUUGCUGUGUGGGUUUUUUGGUUUUUUGUUUGUUUGUUUUUGUUUUUUUAAGUGUGCUUAUUGCAAAGGAAUGCUUAGAAAAGUCAACGCUUUAGGUUUCUGCUGGAUGCAUGCUCUGUUCUAGAAAAAAAAAUAAAACAAAUCCCUUCGAAAUGAUGGAAAGGAAGGCUUUAGUAAUGCAUGAAUGAUUAUGACUCUCGUAUUUUUACCAAUCACAAGAGGAAAUGGAUUUAAACAGCCACGUAAUCUGGUCUGCCUCCCCAUGAACGAGGUACCCUGCUAAACACCACACAAUCCGCCUUCUCUGACCACAGUGAUGUAGUUGACAACAGCGUACAACAGGUCUGUUUUCUCACCCUCUUAUCCCACCCAGAUAACAUCUGGUUGGACAGCCUAUUAGCUAUUGAUGCAAGAAUGCUUGUUCUCAGAGCCACCAGGACAUGAGCGGGAGCCUUCCUGGAAGCCUCAUCAAGAGCACAUCUCUGACUUGGAGAAAGAGCUUCCGUAAACACUGCCCCAACGGGAUGGUGUCUGGGGUUGUAGCUAAAGCUCCAGACCUCAGGUACUACUGACCCUGGCUUCUUUUUCUACCUGUGGUCACUGUCCUUCUUGGGCAGGCACGUUUACCUCUGUGUGGGCUGCCUCUCCCCGCCUCUUCCCAUGAGUGUUCAAAGAGAGUUAUACUCCUGCAAGCUUUCUGUGUAACAAGAACUUCGUAGAGCAACUCAAAGGUCAUGGGGCAGCAUUCUGACUACUGCAUGCCUUAGAGGGCUGGCCAUUACAUGCACAGAAACUAUGUCCGAUUACUCCUCGGUGCCUUGCAGAUCUGUGCUGGCUACCACUUGUCCGGGGCCUUAAACAAGUAGUUGCAUGUACCCAAGCUCAGAGCGGAGGAUAAACGGCCCACAAACCAGUCUUGUCACCUUUGGGGGGCCUGUUUAUGAAACUGGACUGGUCAGUUGCAGACUAGGGGUAAUUACGGCAGCUACAAUUCUUAUCACAGAAGCUGUAUUAAAUGUUGGCCUGGGGCACAUGUUCAUGUACUAACCAUUUUUUCUAAAAAAAGAAAGGAAAUCUUUGUAGAAAUGACUUAGAGGUCAGAGCCCAUCUCCAACGUUUUAUUGAGUGAAACAGUGAAUCCCUCUGCGUCGUUUCUAGCAGCUGACUUUCUAGGCUGAACCUGCUGUUCCUCUGGACACACUCUGAUGAGUCUGGAUUCCUUUCUACUGUCUCUUCUAGAGUGGAGCCCAUGUUUCAGCUUUCUCACAACUGUGCUUUUUUUUUUUGAGACACAGAAACUCUUUUACAACACAGUUAGAAAAAACAUUGCUUCCCCUAGAAACAGUCGCCCUCUCCCCUGAAGAGGAAUUCCCUGGUGUUUUAAAUACUUAAUAAUCAACUUUAUUAAAGGAACAAGAGCUUUGGUUCAAUAAUUUUGCAGCAAAAAAAAAAAAUUACUCUGAUCUAAUCCCUUUCAGCGCUUCAAAAGAAAUUUUUGGUCAAACAUUGGGGAAAUUAGCAGCCCUUAUAAUAUGACUGUUAAAAAACAACAGAACGGCAAGUUGAAAGGAGUCAAUAUAAAAUGAACUCAUAACCUACGUGCAAGUUGAGAGUGCUAUCACAUGGGAUCAUUAAGAGUUUUAUCUCUUAUCCAGGACUGGGUCAAGGAAAGGGGCCUGCGGCAGAGUUCAGUCAAAGAUGUUUUUACAGAGCUCUUUUCCAAGGAGUAAUCCCUGAGCUACACAGUAAUCUAGAUACUUGCAAUCAAUUAAAAUGAAUGAUUGAUUCAAUGAGACGUUCCUUUGUGGUUUUAAAUACAAAACAUUCUAAAAGUGGGAAUGUAGAGAGGAAAUGUUUGCAAAUUGCACAGACUCCCUGGAGGAUCCCCUGGGCUUUACUGGGAGCCGUUCCUGGGGAAGGAUGUUGCCCUGGGAGGUAACAAAGUGAAGCUCCGUUAUUCAAGAAUGAAAAGCAGUCUCAAAGGCUCGCAGUCGUCAAGUGGGUGACGUGUACAUAUGAAGAUGCCCUUUCAGGCUACUUUUCUGUUUUCCUACUUUGAUAGUCAUGGAUACAGAGAAAUAUUUUCUUCACCAGGAGAAAGAGCAGGGCUAAGAGAGAUGAUUAAAUAGAGAGUGACUGCAUUGCAGAAUAAUGUGGGCACAAGUCGGGCAAGGAGGCGGUUGAGACCUGAGAAAUAUAAGAUAUUAUAAGAUAAUAAUUAAUCGGCUCCAGCCAGUUGCUGCUCUGUGUCCACAAGAGCAAAAUAGGACCAUGUUUUGAGGAGAAUUUAAUUCUACAAAGUUUUAAGGGACCUUCUCAAGUUUUCAGUUUUGGUACAGUUCACAAAACAGGACAAUGUGGCCAAGCAAAGUACAUCAACUGAUUCAGUCAACCCUACUAAUAUUCAAAACCCUUGCUUGCGUAUCAGUGCUACUGCCUGAGAAAUGCCCCACUAUUUCCAAACCUCCAUCAGGCUUUUGCUGGUGUUACCUGACUCACUCGAGGGUAAUCCUAAACUAAACAGAGCUUACUCCGUGGGGAAUAAGCUGCUAAACACCACGUUCUUGGCUGUUAAAGGAGCAGCAAAUGGGAAGGUUCUCCUCUCCAUCUUCUGAAUGUGGUCAUAUUGGAUCAUUGCUGUUCUGUCUGUAUCAAACAUGAACAUCAGAGUAAGAAAUCAAAGCUCACACUGCCUUAUAAGAAACUUACAUUCAAAGGCCUUGGGGGUCUGUGCAGAUGGAAAUGAAGUUGAAUAAAAAUCAUCAUUGCAUUUAGUUCUGGAAGAUUCUAGAGAAUACACCAUAACGGUUAGAGCCACCAAAGUCACAUUUUAUUUUGUUUCUUAAAAUUUUAUUUGUUUGUGUGUGUGUUUACUGUGGUGCUAGUAAACAAAGCUAGUUUACCGAGCACUCUACCUACCACUAAGCUAUGUUCCCAGACUAACCUGGAGAGAUCUGCAACAGAUUUUCAUAUUUGAAACACUAGUGUUUGUGAGCGGAGGCAUUAACGCUUCAUAAGCCACAUUCUUGUCCUGAGCUGAAAUCCAGGCUUCCCAAACAUCCCUGGUCUGUGUUAGCAAUUCCAGAAGCUCCAGGGAGAAGCUGGGAGGAAGCCCAAUGGCUACAUUUGUACUCAAGUACCUUUUUUUUUUUCUUUUCUUUUCUUGAACAAGAAGAAUACGCCUGUGCCAGCAUAUCACACAAUAAAACAAGGAUUUGGCACCGAUCUCUAUUGAUUUGGUCAGGAUAAGCAGCCAAACUAGCUAUUUCAUGCCAGAAAUAUGAGUUGGUUUGGCUGGCUCGGCCUGAUUUAAUGCACAGGGUAAUAAUUAAAUGCCAUGUCUGGUUAUACUGAGUGAACAUAGCCGAAUUUUUUUCAAGGAUUGGUGCUUUCUUGUGUUUUCACUCUAAGUGUGCAUUUUCCUGCAAUCCCUCACCACACGGGAAAACUUCACUGUCAAGCCCAGCUUUUUGGAAGGAAGGGAAAAGCGGUUGGCAGACAGUCUCUUCGGAGUGGAGCAUACUGCAAGUGAAAGAGGUGAUAGAGGAACGUUGGGCACAGUUAUGAAAAACGGCAGUUUGAAGCCUACGUUGGGGGCAUAGCGGAGGUUAGAUCACAACAUCGAUGAAAUUCAUCUUGGGACUGCCAUUCAUUCAUUCACUUGCAGCUGUAGUCUGUGUCAGACACCGUGCUAGACAUCGGAGGUACCUGAAUACAAAGGAAAAGUCCCCAAGUAGAUGUACAUUGGGUAGGAAGAGAGAGGCACCCCAAAUUCCUCACCGCAUACAGUCACAACAUACGUGAGCAAAUUCCUGUUCCAAGUUCACUGCUUCUCUGUAUGCCCCAAAAGAAAGGCAGUUUGGUUUUGGUGGGUUUUUUGUUUUUGUUUUUGUUUUAACUUCUUGGUAAUUUUAUGUAUGUAUACAACGUAUUUAGAUCAUAUCCACCCUCACCUUCCUCUUGGUUCAUAUUUUAUUUUAUUUUAUUUUUUUCUGAGAUAGGGUUUCUUUAUGUAACAGCUGUGACUGUCCUGGAACUCACUCUGUAGGCCAGGUUGGCCUCGAACUCACAGAGAUCCACCUGCCUCUGCCUCCUGAGUGCUGGGAUUAAAGGCAUGCACCACCACUGCUGGGCUGGCUCACUUUUUAGAACUUGAUUCCAAACCAGAUUUUCUACAGCUGUGGCAUCUCCCACCUGAUGUCAACUACUCCAGAAUUUAGACCAGCAUAGAUGUCAUCCGCAUUUCCCCAUAAACAUUUCUUCAAGUUAACAUUGUUUUUACACAGCUUCAAAUCACUGCUAGCAAUGGAAACCUCCUGUCCAUUGCCUUGGGACAUGAAUUAUUGUGUUACAACACUCUGAAGUGACACCACUGCCUGACAUAGACUCCGAGGGCCCAAGACCCUCACUAUCAUGUUUUAAGAAGGAAAAGAGAAAUAAUUAGCAAAUGUCUAUAAGAUGUUAAGUAUACCUUAGCCCUGGGGGCUUUCUCUUUCCUCUAACCCAAAGAGCAGAAAGGUAAUUGUUCACUUUCUAUGUGAUUUCAUACAAAUGAGGAAAGUUUCUCUUCCUCCAGAACCCUAUAUUUACCCCUGGUUGGGAAAUACUGGUGGUGUUCACCCAUGCCUACAGUUUCUUUUCCAAAUGACUGUCCAGAUUCUGCCCAGACAUUUCCAGGAACAGGAGAUCCUUGGAACUCAUUUGCCCUUGUAAAACUAAGGGUUCUUUUUGUACCCAAAACAAAAAAAAAAAAAUUGAAAGAACCAGGAAAACAGAAUACCUACUUGCCUGUAAUUCCCUCUCCACAUGACAGGCUCUCUUGUGAUCAAAUAUUACUUAGACAUUUUCCUUUCAAAUACACACACCAGUGAGUGAAUCCUGUGGGAGGGGAGAGCUGACAACAUUCGAAGCCGACAAGCUCGAAUCGCCAGCAAAGGAUUCUUCUGACUGAGAACAGAGUGAAAAUGAAAGCAGUAAAUGAACCUCAGAGUGGGGCACUUCAGCUUCAGGAAAAUAAAAGUCACAACGAAAGCAAACUAAGGUUUUGUCAUUUAACACAAGUGAUCAAAACAAGAGCGUGAGCUCGACAACUCGUAGUUCUCGGGCUUUCGAAACAUAUGUUAAGUGCUUGCAAAAAUGGGAGCAGGGGUCAGCUGAGGGAAAUUUAAUAUUUUGAACUAUUAGUUGCCAAGCGUCUAACGUGCAUCUAAGGCCAAUUUGAACACUCUGGGCACUGACGGACAAGAACUCGAGGCAGGCUACUCAUGUCUAUUAGUUAGAAUAAAAGGCAGCUCUCUGGAGAGAGGAGUGUCUGUAGGCUUCGCUCUCGUUUUUUUCAGUAACAUGAUGGAAUGUGUGCUGUAGGCUAGGUGGGAGGGUUCAGUCUGGCCCCUGGAUGAGAACUCGUAGUAGCUGUUGACAGUAAGAACGGCAAGCACUGUCCUCUCCUUGCACACAUGAAAACUCAGCGGUAAGGACAGAGAACUUGAGUGGGUGGGCCUGUCAUUAAGUCUGCUGCUUCCACAAGCCUCCUUUGUCUACGAUCCUUGCAGUACCACUUUCCUAUUAAAGUAAAUUAAAGAACCCGUGAAGUUAAUCCAGAAACAGCGUGGAGCCAAAGAGAAUUCCUCCCUCACCACUGGGGGCCAUUGGUUUCUGCCCUGCAGCGUGAGAUUCCAUUUCCUUGAUCACAGCUGCAUCAUUUUAAAUAUUAUCGUUGGUUAUGUAACUUCCCAGUCUUUCCUGAAAGAUUCAGCCAUGUAGCGCACCGUCGAUUUCACUGGGAACUGAACGCCGCUUCUAGGAGCAGAGCUUUAGGUCACCAAGCUUUGGGCAAACUCAUCACCUACCUUAACAUCCAAACCCAACUUACAGAGACCUGGAAGGAGUCGGCCAUAAAGGUGCCUCAUUUGAAGCCUGCGGGCUGUUCCUAUGUCGUCUACUGUUGUUCACAAAUGUGUAAAAGAAGGCUGAGCAACGCCUACCUGAAAAAGGAAUUCCUAGGAUAUAGUGAGAGAAGCCUGCCCAAGGGGCAAGUCAACCUCCUGACUUUUUACAUCAGGUAUAAAGGAAAUAAGAGCAAUGUUUAUGCCCGUGAGUUUGGGUAGAGGUAAGGUAUAGACAAAGCCAUUGAAAUCUGGUUGUCACAGAAAUGGUUAUUUUUCCGAAAUGACUGCUUCACUCAAUAAGCAGUUACUGAAGCUUCAUAUAUGCCAACUAUUAUGUUACCAGGGUCUAAGGAUUCUUAAAUGAAGAAGACAAGGUCCCUGUCAUCCAAGAGUUCUUAGUCUGGUUUGUGGAGAUUAAUCCACAGUUGGGGUACGGAGGGUAGCAGUGACAGGUAGAAUAACCCUAGUGGGGGACGUUGUGGAAGAGCCAUAGUGCUACCAUCUCUCUCUUUCCUCACCAGCAUUCAGAUUUCCACAUGAGCAAAUAAUCCUGAGCAGGGAAAAGGUCUUGUUUGGUUGGUUACCUGAGUCAUUCACUAUUAAAUGCAACGUGAGCUGGAGGUGGGGCCCCGUGAGUCCUGAAAAACAGGAGUUUGGAGUCCCAGCAAAAGUCACUGUGGGAAAUGUGGCCUCACAGAAAGUCCGGGAGAGGGGUGGGUGCCUGAUGAGGUUUCAGUGACAGAAACUGUCCCUUUCAUAGGGGAGGUAGGAGAUGGGAGCCCUUGAGCUAAAAAGGAAGUAGAGGCAAUGUUGUAUUGUCUGGCUCAGAGAGGCACUCCCCGCCCCCAAACCCAGCACCUCAGAAGGUGCUAUCCAGCUACACCAGGUCCCUAGCUGCAGCUGCUUUCUUCAAGUGCGGCCUGCUGGCCCUAAUUAUGCCAUGUGGAGAGUAGGGAGAUCAGGGUUCACUUGGUGUCUCUUGGGUAUCUGAACCCCCGAAAGGUGUCCCGGUGCUUCUAAUGGGCCUGCUCCUCAAGUCAUCCACCAUCCGGACCACCGCCCACACCCAGGCAUGUACCCAGGACUGACCCUGCCCCAGUUGCCAGGUGACAGGGUGGGACAGUGAUGUGGCCCAGCUACAAAAGAACAGUCAGUCCCACAGAACUGGAUGCUGGGGAGAGAUUUUUGUGAUGAAAGUGAGACAAUUCUUCGUUUGAAAGCCUCGAGGUCACAGGCUCAAGGCUCAGGGUGGGAUGCUGUGUUAGUUCGAAAUUCUCACCUGUGAACUUCAGUAACUUCAAGUUAGCCGGUGGUUCAGGUCAUUUCGGGUUUAGAAAACACUGUCGAAAAUGUCAAAGCCUCCUGUUUUCCGCUAAGGAAAACCAGAUGUUUCUCACCUUCGUUAUCUAUGUGGUGGUCUCCUCGAGACCUGCAAUCCACACAGGUCUCUGGGUGUCUUGGGAAAAAUAGAAGACCUUGUGCUCUUGAUACCGUAACAGUAAGAUCAGGAUGAAUCCUGUCAUGGAGGUCUGUGCUUGAGGACAGCAGGUGGCCAAAGGGGGCAGGACGAUCCUAAAAUGAGACAUCAUAGUGUCAGUGCGGAUUCUCUAACAGGAACACCAUUAGAGUGAAUAUGCAUUAAAACAAAUGUAUUAGGUUGGCUUAUACAACAGGGUCCAAGUAGUCCAACAACGGCUAUCUCAUACUUGAAAGGCCAAGAACCCAGCAGUUGGUCAGUACAUAAAUUUGAGUGUUUCAGUAGUCCCGAUCUGGAACAUUCCUGGAGAACCAGUGGUCUUCAGUCCAUUUGAAAGCAUGAUGAAGCUGAUUCUGAUACUAGCAAAGGAAUCAGAAGUGUCAGGAAUAGAGUGGAUGGACUGGACCACAAGAAUGAAGGCCAAGCAAGCAAAAAGCAAAUGACUCUUCUUCUGUGUCCUUUUAUCUGGGCAGCCACCAAGCGGCCACCCACAUUUAGGGCAGGUCUUCCUCUAUCAGUUAUGGCAAUCAAGACAAUCCCCCACAUGCACGUCCACAAGUCAAACUGUUGUACACAGUCCUUGAUCGGGGCUCUCUUACCAGAUGACUCUAGGUUAUACCAAGUUGUUGAUUUAAAGUAACUAUCAGAACUGCUUUAGGCCCUCCUAAUGACCAGAGCUUGUGAUCUGAGAAUUACUGUCCCAUUCAGAUUCAUCAGACCAUUUGGAGGUAGCACUUGGGCCCCAAAUCUCUCUUCCCAUAAGAGUUCUUCAAUUAACUGGUUCAAAAAGGAGCCUGGAAAUGGCUGUUUUCUUAAUAGUUCUCAAGGUGGUUCUACUGUGGACUCAGGGUUGAGAACUACCGUGUUACAGUUUCUCUAGGAUUGUCCUCUGGUUUCCAGUGCUAGGGUCCCCAGGGUUGCCCUUUAGUUACAAACAACUCUAAUUAAUUCAGCUGCUCCCUCUUCCAGGAAGCCUCUUCCUGGCUUUCCCCUACCUCUGCUCUAGCAGAGUUCCUAGUUCCUAAAGGCAUGGGUUUGUUUCUUUUUCACGGUUACUACAACACCAUCUGUCUCCACACAGAGGCCUCGGGAGAGUGCUGUGUCUUUGCCUCAUCUAUCCUUUGCAUUGCCUAAAGAAAGUUCUUGGCAAGGCAAGCAAGACCUUUGACAGACUUCACGAGCCGCUGUGCCAGCUUUGUGGCCCGCAGCUUCCCUGACAGUUUCCUCUUUCGAUGUUUUAGCCCUCAGCACUCCAUCCUUCCUCCUUGUGUGUUUUGUCUCUUGGCACAACUUCUUCCACAGCCCUACUGAGGCUCUUGGACUUCUCCAAGAUCCAGCUUAGCCUUCAGACCAUGCAUGAAGUUGUUCUUGCUUGCUUGUAGCUUUGGAGCCUGUCCUGGAACUUGAUCUGUAGACCAGGCUGGCUUCGAACUCACAGAGAUCCUCCUGUCUCUGCUUCCCAAGUGCUGGGAUUAAAGGCGUGCGUCACCACCGCCUGGCUUGAACACUUUGAUUUAAGGGUGUGCUAAGAGCUGGUCUGUCGUUAUCUUAAAGCUAACUUUCUCAAACUAUAUUGCAGAAAUUUCCAAAAUUGAAAUAUAAGGAUCAAUAUAAAAAACAAAUCCUUAGUAGCAGCAUUCCUACACCACACACUGAGUAUUUAUGAAAAAUGGAAGCAUCAGCCACUUCUAUAUUAUAUUUAUAACUUGGCUUCUUUUCACUUGAGACUAGAAUUUGAGCCAUGUCUUGGGACCAAAUACUUGACUUAUCAUAUUCAUCAUAUUCAUUCCUUUGACUUGGACCCCCAGAAGCCAGACUUUAAUGUAGUAAUACCUAAGCAAAAUAAAAUUUCAUAACAUUGUUGUGAAAACAAUUAAAAAUGUUUAUAUAUUAAGUUCUAUAUGAAGAAGUAUUUACCAUGGGAACAUGUAACUCCUAUGAGGUACAGUAACAAAGCUGUAUUUCCAUGAAUGUAAAGCUAUUAAAUCUAAGUAUAUUGAAAAUUUCAAAUUUUCCAACAUCAUUUAUGUGUAUUGCUUCGGAGCUGUCAAGUCCGUUUCUGUUAGUAUUCAAAAAAAUUAGAAGGAUAGAAGGGGUGAAGAAAAUCUUAUGGUGAAAAAAAAAAAACUCUUUAAGCUUGAGACAAUUUGAUCUAUUACCUUGAAUCCAUUAUUUUUCUCCUGAAAUGAGCACAGGGCAUCAUUAUUUUAUUUUACCAGAAAGCAUUUGCUUGUAGCUUAUAGACCACAGGUGUUCUGUAGGGACAUGUCUUGCAGUCACUAUAUAAUUUACCAUUAAACAAACAUUCGAACUUCAGCGAAUGAGAUCAACUUCUUGGGAAGUGCUGUGUCCAUCCAGUGAGAACUUCUGAAACAGAUGUGAUUGCAUCAAGGUGUGUCAUACCUUCUAUUAUUAGAACAUACUUUGUGGCCAGAGUUGUCACCUCUGUGGCUUGGCCCUAUUCAUUAAAUGACAGAAACUUACUUCACAGUUGAAAAACAGAUUACUUCAUUUCUAUGAGUUCUCUAAAAUUAUUGCUUGUUAUUGGUAGACUUAGAUUUAUUUUGAUUGCACAUAUUUUAAUAGGUUUUUUGAGAAUGAUUCACAUGCAUACAAUUUAUUUAUACAUACAAGUGAAAGUCUACAAUGCAAUGGCCUUUACCAUAUUCAUAAACUUGCAUAGUCAUAAUCACAAUCAAUUUUAGAAGAAUUUUCAUCACGUCAGAAAGAAACCAUAUUAUUUGGCCAUCAUCUCCAAAUCCCUCCAUUCGUCUCAGUGCUAGACACACAGUCAAUGUUCAAUUCUUCACGCAUCUCCGUAUCACACAACAUUCUAGACAUCUCAUGGAAAGAGAACACUCUGCAGUACAUGUUCCUUUGUGACUCAUUCUUUCACGGUAGCAUGUUUUCAAGGUUCAUUUGAAGUUUUUCCGCACAUCAAAAUUUUGUUCCUUUUUAUAGCUGAUUGAUAUUCCAUUGACUUUUUUCACAUUUGUCUUUCAAUUCAUGAGUGGACAUUUGAAUUGUCCUCAUUUUUAUUUUGUGUUAUUUUGCUUCUAACUAUUAUAAAGAAGGAUGCUAUUAAUAUUUAUAGGCAUAUCUUUUCAUUUCUCUUGUAUGUACAAUUAGAAUUACUGGGCUUUAUAGUAGUUUUCUUUUGCCUUUAAAAAAUUCAGUGUAUUUUUUUUUUAAUGGCUGCACUAUUUUAUCCACCAACAGUAGGAAAGUUCUGUGUUUGCCACUUUAUUGCCAAUCCUUGCUAGGAACUGUCAUUUUGUUGACAUAUAUUUUUGUCAAAGCCAGUACAAAACACUACCUCCUUGUGAUUUAAUUUGGAUUUUUCAGAUGGUGAUAUUGAAUAUCUUUUCAUGUGCUAUUGUCCAUUAACUUGGAGGGAUGGCUCUUCAGAUACUUUCUGUUUAGUACUGAAUUAUAAUUGCUCUUUCUGUGCUAAAAUUAUACUUUAAAAAAACCCUUCAUACACAAAAUAAUGACAGCAGUUGCUAUGUGCAUAAUUUGUCAUAAGACGAUCAUGAUUAUUCUUGAGAAGGAUCCUUUAGUUAGUGCUGUAUGUAAGCACUCACAAAUACUGAAGGCAAAACAUAAUGCAAAGAAGAAAACACUAGCAAAAGCUGGUAGUUCUAAACUAAUAAGCACUUUUGAAAUAAAAUGUAUCCCUUCCUUUAGAAAGUAACUACUGAUGGCUUUGUCUAAUAUGGCGAUAUGUGAUUUAAACGACAUUUUGUUCCUCUAACGCACAGGGAGACUCUUGCUGUCAUGUAUGUUGUGUUUUAGCUAAAACCUAGACACCUGUGAGACAGUGGUCUUGGUGCAUGUACACUUGGCUGAACUCCUUUGAAGUAUAGAUUCUGAAUUUGUCAAUUGCAUAUUUUUAUGCAAUAGAAUUGAAUACAGUAUGCAUUAACGUCUUUAGUUACAUUUAAUAAAAAUGAAGUUAAUUAGAAAAUGAUGCACAUAACAGCAGUUUGAACGCAUUUAUUUACCUCUACUGAGCUAUGUGCUUUAAAAAGGUUGAGGUGGACAAUUGUGUUAUAUGACUUUAUACAAUUAAAACUUAAAAGCCCCAACCCCAGACAACUGUGGACAACUAAGGAAUGCUGAGAAAAGGAAAAACAGCCUUUCCCAGGGAAAAGGCCCCUGUUUCAUAAACACAUUUUUCAUACAAAUAUAUUGCAUUCUCUAACCAUACCUCCCCACCCUUCCCUUACUCUCUCCUAGCUACUUACAUUGAUCCCCACAGUCUUGCUUUACCCCCAUGUCAUAUGUAUACAUACGCACAUCUGUGUGGGCCUUUUAGAUCUUCAUUGGAAGGAUGUCUGUUCAGAUUUAUUAUCCAUUUUUAGUCAUAUUGUCUUCCUAUUUUUGAACUCUAAUCAUUUCUUUCUAUGUUAAAGUUGUACUUUAAAAAUCAAAUACACGGUGGUGGCACAUACCUUUAAUCCCAGCACUCGGGAGGCAGGGGCAGGUGGAGCUCUGUGAGUUCGAGACCAGCCUGGUCUACAGAGCGAGUUCCAGGACAGACUCCAAAGCUACACAGAAACCCUGUCUUGAAAAAAAAAAUACACUAGAUUACAUGGCAAUUACUAUGUGUGCAGAUGUGUGUGUGUGUGUGUUAUGUAGCUAUAGGCAAUCUAGGAUCCACAAAGGAGGAGAAAAAAUGGUGUUUGUAUUUCUGAGUCUGGCUUGUUUCACUUAAUAUGAUGAUCUUCAUCCAGUUACAUCUGUUUUCCAACAAACAAUAUAAUUUAACUCUUCUUCAUUUCUUUUUUCCCCCGUUUUCCUUUCCUUUCUUUCUUUCUUAAUGACAAGGUCUCACUAUGUAGUCCCAGCUGGCCUGGAAGUCACUGUGUGGAUAAGGCUGGCCUCAGUACUCAGAGAUAUCAGCCUGCUUCUGCCUCCCAAGUCCUGGGAGUAAAGGCGUACACCAUCAUACUUGGCAAUUUUAUUUUUUUGCGGCUGAGCAAAACCCUACAAGCAUUCUAAGUGUUUAGUACUAGCCUACCAAUUUAACCUACUUCAGUUAAUUUUGUUACUGCUGUUUCUGUGUCUUGUUUAGUUUUCAGUUUUUCAAAAAAGCUUUCAAAGCUCAUCAGUUGCUACUUUGCGUUAGAUAGCUUUCCCCCUGUCUGGUUAUACUUUCUGAGAUGAGUCUUUCAAAUACUUGAGUUAUCCAGAAUAAGAAAUGUUGGGGGCAGUGGUCAGCUAGCUGUCUCCUAGUUAAGACAUUCUUCAGCGGAAGGAGGUGGUUGGGGGUCAGAGAAGGUGUAGGGAAAGGCACAAACUUCAGCAUAAAACCUACUGGAUUUUGCAGGAGUUCCCACUAAGGAAUGUGGAUCUAAGACCAGAAUGUUGACACAAAUCUCAUUGGUAUGAAGUGGAUUUUACAGGCUACCUCGUUCCCUGGUACAGCUCAACUUACAGAAUGCUGCUGCUGCUGCUGCUGUAAGUUCUGUUUGGGUCUUUGAAAGUAGAUUGGAUUAAUACUCUUUAUAAUUCUGUUUCUGAUGAGUUACAACUCAAAGCCUGUUGUUUUCAAUUCAGAAAGUAAGCAUUUGUCUUCCCUAGGUCUCCAUUUUAAGUGUCUUCCAGAAAGGAUCCUCUACUAGUGUUCUUCUAGUAUCUUUCUCUUUUGAAAGCAUAAAUAAGACCUCAAACGCAAAUCUAUGCAGUGCAUCUUAGAAGGGUGACCCCCCCAAAUUGUGUGUGUCCAGGUAUGGGUGCAAAUACACGUGUGUGCACAUGUGCAUGUGUGCCUGUGUGCCUGUGGAGGCCAGGUGUCAACGUCAGGCAUCUUCCUCCUUUUUUAAUUAUAUAUUUUAUUGUUUUGAGGUUAUGACAUAAUUGCAUCAUUUCUCCCUUUCCCCCCUCCAAACCCUCUCCUAUAUUCCUCCUUGCUCUUUCAAAUUCAUGACCUCUUUUUUCAUUGGUUGUUACAUACAUGUAUGUAUAUACACAUAUAUUCCUAAAUACGUAAAUGCAACCUGCUCAGUCUGCAUAAUAUUGUUCAUGUGUUUUCAGGACUGACCAUUGGCAUUAGAUAGCCAACUGGUGUGCUCAUCCCUGAGGGAAGACUGUUUUUCCUACUGUCAGCAUUCCGGAGUUGCCCGCACUUCUUUGUGUAGGGUUGAGGCCUUCUGUAGGCCCUCUCCUAUCCAUUUUAACAUGUUUUUGGUUGUUGUCCCUUGACCAGGUCAUGUUUGGGCAGUCCUGUUGGUGAGAAUUUACAGUGUAGCUUCUGACGUUACCAGCAGACAGAGUCUCACAGCACACUCCCUGACCUUCUGGCUCUGACAAUUUUUCCACCCCCUCUUACAAAACGAUCCCUUUGAGAGUUGCUUUGCAGAUGUGUCCAUGGGGACUGCGCUCCACAACUCUGCCUUUGAUUGGCUGCAGGGACAUCAUCUGCAUGCCUGGUGACCCCAGAAGCGAGAAGAGGGUGUCAGAUCCCCUGAAACUGGAGUUAUGGAUAGUUGUGACCCAUGGUGUGGGUGCUGGAAACCAAACCCAGGUCCUCUGCAAGAACAAGUGUUCUUAACCACUGAAAAAUUUCUCCAGUUCAGUUUCUCUCUUUUUCUGAUGAGUAGGAUUAUAAGGUGGCUCUAAAGAUGCCUUGAAUGGGAUAAUAAUCUGAUAAGGUAAAACCAGGAGCCACUAGGAUUGCAAGAAGGGUUAGGGACAUGUCCUUUUGUUGUUGUUGUUUUUCUUUCUUUUUAAUAUUUAUUUAUUUAAUGUAUAUGAGGGACCUAUCUUCAGGGAUACCAGAAGAGAGAAUCAGAUCUCAUUAUAGAUGGUUGUGAGCCACCUUGUGGGUACUUGGAAUUGAACUCAGGACUUCUGGAAGAGCAGCCAGUGCUUGUAACCGCUGAGCCAUCUCUCCAACCCCAUAUAUGUGUGUGUGUGUGUGUGUGUGUGUGUGUGUGUGUGUGUGUGUGUGUGUGUGUAUGUGUGUGUGUGUGUAUGGUGUUUCUUAUAUGACUCUUAGAAAAGUGUAGGUUAAUAGCUGAAAGGGAGAAAGGCCUUAAGCAUACGCCAUGAACUGUGUUAGAAUUCUUGAUUCUGAGCUACCAAGAGCCUUCAACCAGACUCUAGGGUGAGAAGCCCUCCCUUCUCACGCCUUAUCAAUUUUUCUAUUUUUCUACCCUGCCUCACAAAGUCAGUAUUCACUUUAGCUGGUAACAGGGUCCCCCUUAAAUUUCAAACUGUGUGUGUACUCAAGUCUAUCGUAAGAUAGUGUAGUGUUUAUGUGUAACCUACAUAAUCCCUCCCCCUUAUAGAUAACUUAUAAUACCCGUGAUGGACUUUCUAUCUAAGCACUUUAAGGCCUAGAGACUUUUUUUUUAAUUUGCACGUGUUCAGGACAAAUGAAAGUGCUUCCCAAAUAUUUUCUGUGUGUGGUUGGUUGACUCCACAGGUGUGACAUCCAUAGACGUGGAAGCCAGACUAAUGCAUGUGUUGAUUACAGGUCAUUCCAUUAUGUUCAUUCAAGAAAACACCCCCAGAAGAAUCCCUAGUACAAUCAAAAUGGGAGCUACUAAGUGAUCUUUAAGGAACCAGAGCUAUGCCAGUAAGGGGAAAUGAAAGAUGGUCAUGUCUUUCAAAGUUGGUGCCAAGGAGGGCCACAUUGUCACCCUUAAACACUGGUUGGUGUGAUUGUCGGAAAUGAAAUGGAUUAUUAGUCAGACCAAGGGCACACUGGCUGUACCUUGCAUGCUGUCCUUGAUGACAAAGGAUAUCUGUUCUCCACUAACAAUUGGUUUCCUCUGUUUAUUUUGCUUCUGCAGAUUAUCUUUUCUGUGUUGAAAUCUAUACGAGGGCAUAAUAAAAUACAAACCCUCAAAAAAAAAAAAGUAAACAAACUAUCGCAAGCUUCUCAGAAAUCUGAAUGUUAGACAUUGUUGCACACUGCCCGCUUGCUGUGGUUGAACAGAACCACACUCUGGUAUGUGUAUGGGCUUUGUUCUUCCGCCACAAGCUUUGCUUUCGGUGACUCAGCACCAGUUCCUCUCCAAGCACCAGCUACAUGAGGGCAGAGAAGUGGCUCUGCUUUGAACUUUGCAGUCAAGCCUGGCCCUGCAACUUGCACCCACGGCCGGGCGCUCUGCAAGCCUAUGUAAAGGGUCGUGAAGAUGCCUCAUCCUCCUAGUAAGAAGGGGGAAAUACUUGACAGUUUCAUAAUGCGGUUUAUACAGGAGAAAAUCCGACAUUACCCCUAAGUCUUCGGAAUUUUUCUGUUUCAACAGUGCCUAAAAGUAAUAUUGAAAGGGCUAUUUCUGAGAAAAUGAAAAACUUGGAACCCCCUGCCUUAGUGGAGGACAGAGUGUGGUUGGUGUGAGGGGAGCAGAGGUACUGGCAAGAAUUUAAAAGCACAUUAUACUCACCCACAUUAAUUGUGCUAUUGGAGUACCAAGGGAUAGUACUGUGUCCAUAGCAUGUUUCUGGUUGAAAUGAUCUCCAUUCUAAGGCCCUCAUGUCAUUAGUCAAGCACCCUUUAUGUAUCUGUUCUAAUAAAAUACAGGGGCUAGGGGACACUAUCUAUUGUGAAAUGUGGUUUCAAUAUGGUUUCAUUUGUUUUUCUUUAAUUACUCUAUUGGAAAUGUGUUCUCUCUCUCUCUCUCUCAUUUCAAAUGAGUCAAAUUUGAUCAUUUUCCUCUUGGAAUACCCUCUGGGCCCUGCAAGUUCUCAGCAAACACACAUUGUUGGUCAGUUUCCAUUUUCAGCCUCAUACCAUUCACAAUGAAAUGUAUUAAGAUAAGUUAAAUGAAAUAAAUUGCCCAUUUUCUAUUUACAAAGGGCAACAUUAGCUGCCAUGAAUUUCACUGGAACAAAGCAUCCUUGAUCGUUCCAAACAAAUGUUUUCACUUUUGACAUCCCAUCAAGAUAUACUCAAUUUCAAAUGGACUGUUCGCUAAGGGGAGUAUUUCCUCUGGCAUUCAAAAAUCACUCCAAACAUUGGCCAAACGAAAGAAGGGGGCCCAAAGAACAAAUGCAUCAGUGAGAGUAAAAUCUUCCUUGGCAAGUGAUUUCUGCCUUUCUAUCCAUUGUAAACUUAGGACAGACCCUGGUGUGGUGACCAUGCCUAUACUCCCAGUACUUGGAGGAGGAAGGCAAGAGGAUCAGGAGUUCAAGGACAGCUUGGAUGACAUGAAACCAUCUUUAAAACAAACAACAAACAAAAUUUUAAAAAGUCAGUGACCCUUCCAGUGAUGGUGAUUUGUUAGCUCUAGAAGAAGGGAGAUGUAUAUUCAACUGAAAGAUGUUUCUUUAAUAAGAAUCCAGACUUCAGAGAUCUGUUUUAUUCUGUAUUGUUGCUUGGUUUUGCUCUUUUGUGGGGCCUGCCACCCAGCUCCCAAAUAAAUCACACACAGAGGCUUAUUCUUAAUUAUAAAUGUUCGGCCUUAGCUUGGCUUGUUGCUAGCCAGCUUUCCUUAGCUUAAAUGAUUCAGUCUAUCUUUAGCCUCGGGGCUUUUCCUGUUCUCUUCUGUAAAUCUUACUCUUACUCUGUGGCUUCUUAUGUAGCUGGGUGGCUGGCCCCUGGAGUCCUCCUCCUUCUCUGGUUACUUCUCUUCCCUCCCAGAUUCCUCCUUCUAUAUAUUCUCUCUGCCCGCCAGCCCUGCCUAUCCUUUCUCCUGCCUUGCUAUUGGCCAUUCAACUCUUUAUUAGACCAUCAGAUGUUUUAGACAGGCAAAGUAACACAGCUUCACAGAGUUAAACAAAUGUAACAUAAACAGAAGUAGCACACCUUAAAAUAAUAUUCUACAACAAUUUUAUAACUAGAAUCAGUUUUUGAGAAAGGGCAGCAGUUGCCACAAUUAUUAUCAUCUAUAGCAGCUCUUUCAUCUCAGUUUAUCAUGGUAACUCCAUGGCUUUUUUGUUUCUAGUUUUUCUUAAUCGAAACCUUGAUUUGGAAAGGGCUAUGGAGCCCUGUUAUUUGAAUCAUCAGUACUUUCCUACAGCAUUGGAGUUAGAAUGCCAUGUGUGGCCUUUUAAUUGUCUCAUUUGGCGAAAGCACCCACUGGCAUUAAGCUGACUGCUUGGUUUGUGUGGGUUUGAUUUUUGAGGACCAAUCACAUAGAGAGAUGCAGGGAAUCAUGUUUUGUUCUUCUACAUACUUACACAUUAAGUUCCUUAAGCUUCAUAGUAGGUGGACUUUUCUGUCCUGCCAGCCACUCCCCAAAUAACCACACAGGGACUUAAUAUUAAUUAUAAAUGUUCAGCCAAUAGCUUAAGCUUGUUCUUAGCUAGCUCUUAUAACUUAAUAUUAACCCAUUUCUAUUCAUCUAUGUGCUGCUCCAAGGCUCAUUUACCUCAUCUACAUACUUCCCAUCCUGCUUGCUCUGCAUCUCAUGGCGCCUCCUCUGACUCCACCUUUCUUCCUCCUAGCAUUCCUCUGCCCCCAAAAUCCUGCCCAGCUAUUGGCAAAUCAGCUCUUUAUUAACCAAUGAGAGUAAUACAUAUUCAUAGUGUACAAAAAGAUUGUUCCAUAGCACUCCUCUGUCUCCUGGGGGCUGGGAAAGUAGUUCAGUGGUAGCAUGGCGCUUGCUUAGCAUGCACAGAGCCAUGGGUUCUAUCCUCAGCAUAACAUAAAGCCAGGUGUGUCAGAUCAUAUGCCUAUAAUCCCAACACAGUGUGAUAGAGGCACUUAGGAUAAAAAAAAAAAAAGAGAGAGGCAUAAAGAGCAGGGCUGCAAAUUACAAAAGCCUUUCUGUAAUUUGUUACCUGAUGUUUUUUUGUUUUUAAGUAUUUCUAUCUUCUUUGGGAGCUCCAUUUCAAUAGAUUCAUUCUAAAACAACCCCCAACUAUGCUGAAAGGAUAAGAAAUAAUCCACUUUGAGGAAAAAACCCUAAAGAAAAGUCCAGAUCAGAGCACCUCGAAAAUGUGCCAGUCCCAGCAGGAUAGAACAAAAGCACCCUCCGCCUUCUCAGUAAUGGGUAGUAAUGGAACCACUUACUCUGUUUUUAGUGCUGGGGUGGAAGAAGCAGAGUGAGCUAUGCGAACUUAGGUUUGCAGAGACAUUGAAAGUUACUCUAAUAUCCCCGACAACUCAUUUCCUUCUCUCAACACUUGAGUGAAGUCUGCCUCAGCAAUUGGAGAUCUCGGUGUUAGUUUUCACAGGAUAAUAACCUUUUUUCCGUUCCUCCACAGAUAACUUUAAUGCAUUUAGAUUUUUGGCUCUAAGUUUAAGAAGCAUCAGUAGUCUACCUUGAGGAAUAUAUUGCUGAGCAAAUGUGAAAGCUGAGCUCGGAGAUGUCUGUCUAUUUUACAGUUGGAAAGCCAAUGGCGUCCUCACUAUAGGCCUGUGGAGGAACAAGAAUAAAUAUGUGGGUAAAUGCAUACACAUCAAGUCUGGGGUGGGGGCAGAAGCCUUCUCUCCUGAAUGUAGGACAAUACUGCCAGAAUCUGAAAGAUCUGGCAAAAUAGAAAGAUCACUUUUUGCUGGAAUCAUUUAUCUGCCUCUAAAACGAAAGGAUAGCUUUUUUUUUUUAAAGGAAGUUUCCUUUUCCCCUAAAUGUAAUUAUAAUAACCAUAUCGUUCUUUAAAAUUCACCAAGAGCCCUUUAUUAUCAUCGGCCAGUCCAGUUUCAAAAAUCUCCAUCUCUAGGCCUCACACACAAAGAAAUCUUGAGUUCAGGACCAGCCUGGUCUACAUAGUGAGUGAGGCCAGCAUGACCUACAUUGUAAAACCCUGUCCAGAAAAUGAAAAAGAAGAAUAAAAUAGCCCUCCAUUUCCUUUUCUUUCCUUCCUUUCUUUUUUUUAAAAAAUUUAUUUUAUUAGCCAGGCGGUGGUGGCGCAUGCCUUUAAUCCCAGCACUUGGGAGGCAGAGGCAGGCGGAUCUUUGUGAGUUCGAGGCCAGCCUGGUCUAGAGAGCGAGAUCCAGGAAAGGCGCAAAGCUGCACAGAGAAACCCUGUCUCGAAAAACCUAAAAAAAAAAAAAAAUUUAUUUUAUUAAACAGCUCUUACCUCUUACUUUAUAGCUCUGGUUGAUCUGGAAUUCACUAUGUAGACCAGGCUGGCCUUGAACUCACAGAGGUAUGUCUGCCUCUGCCUCCUGAGUACCUGGAUUAAAGGCAAAAGCCACCAUGCCCAGUAUUUCUCUCUCUCUCUCUCUCUCUCUCUCUCUCUCUCUCUCUCUCUCUCUCUCUCUCUCUCUCGUGUGUGUGUGGGGGAGUUGAAAAAGAACAUAAACCUGGGGAAGAAGUCAUCUAUUUUAGAUUUUGAAAGGAAAAAAAAAAGAGUUGAAAAGUCUGUUUAAAAGAAGUCACAGAUAACACAGAAACUAAGGUUAAGCUAGGAAGUGGGUCCAUCCUUGGGUUGCUCCCCGAUUGGCCGUGCUGGCUAAGUCUACCUCCUUUACUGUUGACUUCUGUCUAUGGCCCCCUCCUUCACUUUCUGAAAACACCAUGUCAAUCCCGAUCCUCCACAGUGAGCUCCCUUCUGGUCUCCCUGGUUUUCCCCCAAUCCCUCUCUCCAGGGUCUGGCUCUUCUCUUGCACACUUUUCUCUGUUACAUGAAGCCAGGACAAGCUUUCCAAAGCUCAGCUCUGAGCUUAUUCCCACACUGCUUUUGGAAUGAAGUCCAAACUUCUUAACAGGUUUGGUGUGGGUCCUGUCUGUGUUCCAUCUCAGUUCUCAUUCCAGCCAGCCACUCCCCGCACUCCUGCCAACGCGUCUACCUGGACUCUUUUCUCUGCUUCUUCACCUGACAUCCUGCCUCACUCUCAGGUCUUACCAGCCACUCACUCCAGGAAUCUUCUUCUACCUUUGCAUUGUAAGUAGGUAGUCCCACUGUCCGUCUGCCUUCACCUCCUCCACCCAACUGUGACCCCAAUGCCAGGACCACUUUGUUCAACAUUUGCAUCCCUAAGAAUUGGCCACUGUAGUUUUUGGAGAUUCCUGAGAGCCUUAAGUUCUUUUACAGUGUUGUGAAUGUCUCUGCUUUCACUUUCGAAAGCAGUCUAUACUGCACAGCAGUUGACAGAGGUUCCUUUGGGAUGCUCCAAGGUCUGCUCAGAACUGCUUCCUUGGGCAGUAUUAGACCAGGAGAGAGAGAGAGAGAGAGAGAGAGAGAGAGAGAGAGAGAGAGAGAGAGAGAGAGAGAGAGAGAGAUUGACCUAAGAGAUAUUUUGUUUUCUACUGCCAAUUUAUGCAGUUGGAUUUUUUCCUUCCAUCCUUCCUUCCUCCCUCCCUCCUUCCCUCCCUCCCUCCCUCCCUCCUUCCUUCCUUCCUUCCUUCCUUCCUUCCUUCCUUCCUUCCUUCCUUCCUUCCUUCCUUGCUUCCUUCCUUCCUUCCCUCCCAGACAGAGAGCUUUGUCAUGCUUUUCCUGGAAAGAUUCACUGACUCAAUCUUUUAGUUAACAUCGGUGGAAUGCCUACUUAACGCUGUGGCAUGCAAUCCGCCCUAGGAUAUGGGAGUGUGCCAGUCUGCCAUGAAAACAGUAAGCAUGACACGGGAGUUUUCUGUUUGCCAGCUAGCUUGCUUCUCUGACAGGCAUUUCUGGAUGUGAAGAAAGAUAUGUUUUGGCAUCCCAGCUCCAACUAGAGUGGGCAUGUACACACACACACACACACACACACACACACACACACACACAGUUUGCUCACCCUCAGUACCUAGGACUACAUGUCUUCAAAGUUCGGAAGCUUCAUUUAUACUACAAUAUAAUAGCUGGCUCUCAGAAACUUUCAAGGGGGAAAGGCUAGCUCUCCCUCUCCCAGAGCUGAGUACCAUCGCUCAAAAACAGAACAACGUGUGAUUAGUGUGCUCUAUUCAUCCUCUGCAUCAAUAACAGGUAUACAGUUACUGAGACAAAGGGCUAGAUUCACGUCUUCUGGAGGCCUCCAGAGAAUUCCCAUAGUUACCCACAGAGCAAGAACUGGGCCAGUGGGAAGUACCCCAACCUGGCUACAUGUUACCAACACUGCUGUAUCACAAGUGGCUCCUUCCAGAGUCACCAUAAGACGGAAACGCACCGUGCAAGAAGCUCAGGUAAUGUGUACACAUACGGUUUCCAGAUCAAGAAUAAAGUUAAUACCUCCAAAAGUUGAACUGGAGAAAUUAAUAGGGCCACCGAAAGUCCUGUGAAAUGCUCUAGGUUAAAGUGCAGAAAACUACGGUUCCUCUGCCAGAGAACAUAGGCACAGCUUUGAAAAGCCGUGUGAGAACUCAGAUUGAAGUUUGUUGCUAGAGUUUUCCUGCCUGGCCCACAGUCAGGACAAAUCUCUCUCACCCGCCAGUCCCACAGCCUCUCAGACCCGACCAAGUAAACACAGAGACUUAUAUUGGUUACAAACUGUAUGGCCAUGGCAGGCUUCUUGCUAACUGUUCUUAUAGCUUAAAUUAAUCCAUUUCCAUUAAUCUAUACCUUGCCAUGUGACUCGUGGCUUACCGGCAUCUUCACAUGCUGUUUCUCAUCAUGGCGGCUGGCAGUGUCUCUCCCUCUCAGCCUUCCACUUCCCAGCUUUAUUCUCCUCCUUGUCCCGCCUAUACUUCCUGCCUGGCCACGGGCCAAUCAGUGAUUUAUUUAUUGACCAAUCAGCAACAUAUUUGACAUACAGACCAUCCCACAGCAGAAGUUUCAUUUGCUUCUUGAAGCGUUUUCUGAGAUGGACUCCUUACGUUUCCCCAUACCUCCCAGAGACCUGGAUCCUGACUGAACACGCAUGCUCAGGAGAGGUUUCCCGUAACAGUCCUGCACGUCUGCAGUAUGGAAGCAGCUUCCCCAAGCAGCACGCUUCUCAGCAGCUGCUUUCCAUUCCUUCAUGUUCCUCCCCAAGGAGAUGGCUCAUACCAGAGGCGUGAACAGGUGCUAGACAUCAUGAGAGAUGCUAGCCCUCAAGAGUUGGGUUAUUUCAUGUCUCCUAUUUAGAAUUUCAGGAGCCUUUAGGCUUUCCAUGUGUUCACAUGUUCGCAUGGUCACAAAAACUCUCAAUUGCUGGCUCCAUGUUUCUCCCCUCACCAGCUCUCCCAACCUACUCAUUGAUUCUGACAAGAUCACUGCUAAAUCCUUGGCUCCUGGUCAGAUCUGGUAAACAUGCAUGAACAGAUCUGACGCGGCAGUUAAAUCACUCCUUCUCUUGAGAUAAGCUUCUCCAGCCAACUGCAGGGGCGUUGCCAGAACACCAACUUACACACUAUUGGUUCCAGGUCCCCCUCUCUGGGUCGCCUCUUUUCGUCUGCCACAUACAGGUCCUUAUUUCUCAACGUCACAUGCUGUGAGACAGAUCUGGCGAGACACUGUACUCCCCUGGGUGGUCAGGCUUUGAGAACACAUGCUGUGCUGCAUUUCUGUCCAUCUCUCCUACAGCUAGCAUACAGUAUGUGGUCAAUACAUGUAUCUCAAAUAAGCCAAGGAUGGUUAGAUAAGAAGAUGGAGAAUGUUCAUGCUUUCUUCUUCAUCCACUUAACCUCAGAAGACCUGGAAUCCACUUGGGGGUGGGCUGUGAGGUCCCUCCGCUGCUGAGAAGUACACCCCAGUUUUUUCAGGUGCAUUGAAAAUGUAGCAUGCGUUGUCCACGCCAGUGAGGAUGUUCUUUCAAACUUCGAUUCAAAACAGAACUUAAGGUUCAUCUGCCUGUCUUAUGUUCCGAAUCCUCACUCAUUACUAUCCCACUCAUCUUUCCCCCACCUCUCAAUUUAAAAUAGUUUGCCUAUUUGUCCUCUUUUGAAAGAUAUUCCACAGCAUCCAGGAGGUGUUUUGCAAAGUACUGUGGCUUCCCAAGGACAGUUGAUAUGCCUCUUGGAGGCAUCGAUUACAGCCUUUCCUUUAUCUCCCUGUCAAACCCUGUAUAGCUCUGAGCUAUCACUGAACGUGCUGUAAACAGUCCGGACAGCAAACGCGUUCGUGCUUCAUUCCUUUUUCGGGCUGCGUUGCAUUUGUGCUCCGAGUUUUGCCCAGCACCAAACUGCCCAGCUUAGGUGAUUCAUUCAUUCAGUAUUGAGCUCCUCUGGCAAGACGUUGAUGAGGGAAAGCUCAGUGCUGCUAACCUUGACCUCCAGCCCCUUCAUGUCUCUCCUCUGCAGCAAGAUGUUUACACCUGAAAAGUUAAACUGGGGCCCAUUGAAAGGUACAGAGAAUAGUCAGGCUACCGUGGGCUUAUUUUUGGUUAUUCCUGCUUGGUUUUUAAGAAAAUAAAACUUAAGGGCUACCAGACUAGUUUCUAUACUAGACUCAGCCCUGACUGACUGUGAAAGUCCUUUUUACAUUUGGGGCUCAUUUGUGCAGUGGGAAUUGUAGUAGCAGUGAGAAUAAUAAAGACUCUUUGCGCCGGGCGGUGGUGACGCACGCCUUUAAUCCCAGCACUCGGGAGGCAGAGCCAGGCGGAUCUCUGUGAGUUCGAGGCCAGCCUGGGCUACCAAGUGAGUUCCAGGAGAGGCGCAAAGCUACACAGAGAAACCCUGUCUCGAAAAACCAAAAAAAUAAAAAAAUAAUAGUAAAAAAAAAAGUAAAGACUCUUUGCACCGGGUGGUGGGCUGAGUGGAGACCUCAGCUGUAAGCCACCUAACCUGAGUCUGAACUAGUAGCAGUGAUAAUCACAACUCUUAGAUUCUGUUUAGCAUCAUGAACAUGAACUUUAGAAACUUUCCAUCUUCCUUGGUGGAGCGUGUCAGACCUAAGGUCUUACAUGUGGAGACAGCCCAGAGUGCAAUAUUUCUUUAGCCAUGGCCCAGGUCCCCCUGGCAUCCCCACUGGCCAUUGCUGGCCAGUUUCAGAGAUGACAGUGUGUGUGUUUCUCCGUUGCUUUCAGCUGACAUGCCUUCUGAGUCUUGUUCACUACAGCUGUGAAGGUUGCUCACUGAAAAGCUACUUCUUGUGACCCUUUCCCCCCCCAAGUAAGCAAGCGACACCUUUGUAUUUCUACAGUAGAUUUUUUUUUUAAGAAGAAGAAAAGAGAGAGAGAAGGAAAGGGAAAGAAAAAGGAGUUUGCCAAGAAAGCACGUGACUUGGUGAGAUCGGGAAGAUUUCAGGUUUUGUUAGUGUACUAGGUUUCACGUUAGUACUCUGAAACGCAGCCUUGAGCUGACUUGUGUUAGCAAAGGCCGUGAAACGUUCAUUCAGUCCUGGUUACACCCAUAACAAAUGGUGUCAUUUUGUACAUCAGUGAGCCUUUUGGGGUCAUUGGUACUGCUUGCCAAACCAGGAGGGCCGGGGCUAAUUUUGACUUUCUGAUGACAGACUUGGUUUCCAAGGGUGUUUGUGGAUUCCCUGUGGAUUUAUGUUCUCUGCCACUCUGUUUCCUUUGCAUAAAAAUGAGGGCAGGAUUGGGAAUGUGACUCUAUGGGGGUGCUUGCUUCAACUUGUUCUCGGCUCUGAGUUCAACCCAGUAUCAGAUAGACAGAUAGAUAGAUGGAAGGAUGGAUGGAUGGAUGGAUGGGUGAUUGGAUGGAUGGAUAGAUAGAUAGAUAGAUAGAUAGAUAGAUAGAUAGAUAGAUAAAUGGGUUUCAGGCAAGUUAAAAGUCAUACUGUAUGGUUUACUUAAACUGGAACCAGUCUGGACAUUAGCAGCUCUUAGUAAUUAUGUGAUGUGCAGCUUGCAGCUGAAGCUAUGAAUGUUGAACCAUGUGUUAUUGUCGCUCAGAUCACUCAGCUGUCCACCUUAAUCUGGUUAAAUGAUUUUCUGAUUGAUGGAUGGCAUCAUGACUUAACCCAGCGCAACUGCCAUCAGUUAUUGAGUAUAAAUGGCAUACCAGCUACUGAACGUAAAUACUUAGCAUAUACACUGUGUGAUACUUUAUAAAAUGUAUUUCCUAAAGUUACAAGCUCAGCCUCAAAGUUUUUUCACAAAAUAUCUUGCAAUUGCUCCGUGUACUAAGGAUUCUAUCAUUUAAAAAAAUUGCUCUUUUACUAUAAUGACUUUUUGGUUGUGGGAUUUCUGAUACAAUUUAUCUCAGUUAUUCAGAAAAAAUGUAGAAUCUCCCUUAAUCCCUUUAUCAGUAAGACAGAAUUUGAUAAAAAACAGUGAGGUGUCCAGAUGUGGUGGCAUAUACAUGUAAUCCCAGCACUCAAGAGGUAGACACAGAAAGAUUGAGGCACAUUGAAGGCCAGCCGAGGCUACACACUGAGACCCUGUCUCCAACAAAGAAACAAACAGUAACAAAAGGUAAUCAGCUAGAUUGUAACCCUACUGAACAUUUAUAUCUCGAGUAUUUCAGGUUCCACAUUAACCUGGGAACAUCCCUCAUAAAAAAUAUUCUGGUGUACUUUCCCCAGAAAUACCUAUUCUGUUUCAUAUCUUAUCAACAGCUCAAAGCCAUGGAAAGCACUCACUGGUGUUUUCAGAUGGUGUAAAGGCCCCCACCCCACCACCACCAUCGCUGCAAAUGCCUGCACUCACAAUGAGAAUCACUUCAAUAGGCUACAGUGCUGGAUGGAAACCAGCAAGAUGAACUGGAGCGGGCAAGCGAUGUACACUUCUACUUUUAGAUUCAAAAGGCAGUUGCGCAAUUACAGGAUGGGAGCAACUGAGCUUGGCAGCAGUUCCUGUGACUAAAAGCUUAAUAAGAACCAACGGUAGGAAGGGACGGCUAAACAGAACGAAUGUAGCUGUGUGCUUCCAUGGUAGACAUAUUAAUGGCUCGCUUUACUCUGCAGUGGUCACACUGAGUUGGGAGUAACGUGCUGGGUUCCAAGCACAUUCAGGAGGGACUUUAACAAAGCAGACUAGCUAUUAAGAGGGUGUUGAAUCCAGUCCAAGAUACAUUUAUGGGGCUCCUGUUUCGAGCAGGCAGUGUGCAAACUAGGGCCGGCCAUAAAGCGAGGAAGAGACAUUGUUGGUCUCUAGCCUCAAGGACUUGGACACAUAAACGGAGAGCCAGACAGGUAGGUACAUGACUGUACAACAAAGCAGACUCGGAAAGCCAGAAGCACAAAGAAUGUGCUGUGGGAAUCUGGGGGUGGGGCCGACUGUAGGAUUUGUACAGGAAAUGAGGAAGGCUUGAAUGCGAAGAUGUAGAGACAGGAAAACUCGGGUACCGCUGAGGAAUACUGAGCAGUCUAGGUUGGCUGGAAGGGCCGGGUAAGGCUGAGAGGAGGGAACCGACCUGAGAAAAGCUUGGGGACAGAGCAUGAGGACAGUGGUUGGGGGUGGAAAAGACGCUCCAGUUAACGAGCCUUGGGAAAUAAUGACACAGGACAACUCCUGGGGAAGGGUAUUUAGUCAAGAGGAAAGAUGGCCAAAUCGCCCUGGUGGCUGUGGGUCAGAUUUACUCUGGGUACUUCCAGAAGUAAAAAUGUGUCUCGGAGGGUUUCCAAUGUUCCUGAGUAUGGGUUUGAUGCUGUUUGGUUUUUGUUUUUUAAUCAAAACUGCCCAAGUGAAGCAGGGAAUACUUCAGCGCUUGUGAAUAACACCCCGGAUAGACUCAGGUCUCUGGCCCGAACGCUGAGGAGAAUCUUCAUCAUGAUGUAGUGCAUGAACAAGUGAAAAAAAUCGUUUCAGCAAUGAACGCCCCUUUAGAAAGAGCAAGAAAUUGUUAAUACAACUUUGCAACUCCUCCGACUCGUUCAUUGUUAUAGCGGGCCAACCAUAGCCCUGAAUCGUUCAUUUAAAGCCCAUGUUUGCGUCUUGUUUUUCCCUCUUCCUUGCUGUGAGCACCGUAUUCCUUCUUAGCAAUAUCCCCCAUGCAUCCCCACUGGCUGCAUCACCCUCCACCCUGUUCCCGCACUCUGAGUUAAAUUAAACUUUUUCUACCAGCCAGCCCCACACCUCGUCACUCUCAAGUCAACCAAAUGUCACCUCUGUCCCCUUUCUUUUCUUCACACUCCUAGAUCCCUGGACCAUUGAUAAUGAAUGUAGUUUAUUGAGGCACAUUUUAGGCCAGCCUAUGCUACACAGUGAGUUCAGGGCAGCUGGGGCUACAUGGCCAUCCUAGAUCACUCCUAGGAUCCCUGGUCCAUUGGUAAUAAGUGUAGUUGGAUGUAGGAAACUGUCCAAUUUUCUUUGGAGAAUAUUUUUUAAGAAUCUUGAUCACCUCCUUGAAAAAAAAACCUUUAAAAUAGGAAAGUGAUGGGCGACAGGAAGAAAUGAGCGCUACAGAACUCAAGCAGCAGUCACAGAACCAGCUCCUUUCUCUUAUAUUUUUGGUUGUGAGCCCAGCCUUUAACGGCUGAGCCAUCUCUCCAGCCCGCAGCCCCUUUCUCUAGAAAGCAGCCAGUUGGGAAAGUGUUGGCCACUGCUGGUGGAACGUAUCAGAAAACCUCCAGUCCAUUGUUGCCCCUGUGCCUGGGGCAGAAACACAGCUUUUCCUGUUACAAGGUGGGAAACGGUCGUGCUCCCGCCAAGGACAGAGAUGGGAAAGGCUGACUCGCUCCAGCCCUGAGGACUGUUUCACUCCAUGACUGAUAUUGCUUUAUUGUUUGGCUCAGGUAGCUGGGCAAAUAUAAUCUCUGACUCCCUGGGUGUGUCCAUUCCUUCAUAGAUUAGAUAAGAACAAUCGAUGAGCUUUUAAAUGCUGAGAAAGCUAAUCAGAACCGAAAGGGAGUCACAGCCAAGAAAUAACACCGAGAGAAAGGCACCUACUGAACUUGCCUCCUCUACCUUCCCUUUUCCUCUGCUUUUCAGUUUCCCAAUCUCUGUUUUUUGUCUUUUCUCUCUUCCUGUCAGCCCGUCAACUCCCUUCUCCCCACACACCCUUCUUUCCUCCCCUCCCAGCCCAAACGCCAUCCCCAAAGACUGAAUUUGGCACACUCUACCUGAUCAGAAAGUGCGACUGAAUUUGGCUUUUAAAUAUAUUCUUUUAAAGAGUAAAUAAGAUUCACAUUUAAUUUAGGAAAUAGAUGAUCAAAGUUUGCUCUGACUGA